rnacentral:tRNA from 1 species
GCACGCGGUAGGCGGCUGGAUCGCGCUGCCGGCGGUGCUGCUGCUGGGCGCGCGCCACGGCCGCUACAAGGACGACGGUCGCAUCGCCGCGCAUCCGCC